ensembl:lncRNA
UUUUUAGGGGUCCAAGCCAACAGGUUGGAUCCCUAUUGUUUUUGUAAGGAUUUUUAUUUUUAGGGGUCCAAGCCAACAGGUUGGAUCCCUAUUGUUUUUGUAGUGUUUAUUAUUAUUAUACUUACCUCCCUAAAAGUGUGCCCACAGCCCAAACCGUAAAUGGUGCCGACACGCCAAUUGCAUGACUAGAUCCAGAUCCGUGGGGACUACGCAGACGACAAAAUCCAGACAUGCCGGCCACUAGGUGGCGCUAUACCAAGGAAUACGCGUUUGGGGCUAUAACUCCCACACCGAACCUCCCAC